UCGAUUAUGAACCCAAUAACGACAGACACUGAAUCCGGCGGACGAGGGAGAAAGCUGUGUAUAACCGGGUGCUGUAUACGAAAGUUCCUGUGUGUCAGACUCUGAAACUAGGUUUGGAGCCCUUGUUUGACAAUGGGGAAAAGUGCAGCUCAGUGUAUCGGGUUUGGGCGAUACUGCGGGGAACAGAUAGUAACUGUAUGGCGUUCAUAGUGCUGAUUUGCCUCUGGGAAACAGGAAUCUUUUCCAGGAAAAACAGACCUGACCUAGAGCUUUUCCAGCUUGAGAUUUUGGGAAACAGGA
rnacentral:lncRNA from 1 species